rnacentral:lncRNA from 1 species
AUUUAGGCCCUCACACAACCUAAUCAAGGGUUGUACCACUGAGCUACAUCCCCAGCUCCUGUGUUAGCUCUUUUGGUAUUAUAAGCUUACUACCUGGCUGCCUUGAGCUUAUAUAACUUAAAUUAGUUCUACACUUGAUCUUAGCCAAAAGGCCGAGAAGCAAUAGCCUAAAUUAGUUCUGAAACCACUUGUUUGCUCCUGGGUUUACUGACAAAGCUGUUAACCAGUGGGAAGUAUGACAGAUAGGCGUUUCCCAAAGUGCUCCUGCAGGAAUCCAGCUUGCAUGACUUGGGGAAGUCAGGGAAUACUUCCUGAAGAAGGCUGUUGUUGAACUAAGUAUUGAGGAAAAAUUUAAUGAAGAUAGCUCCACAGAAAGGGGAGAGUACACUUAAAGAGGACCAUGACGUGUACAGAGAUGAAAGGAAACGACUUAGAGGCCUUAUGAAUACAUCCGUGCAUUCUUGCUUCAGACUUUACAAUUGAAGGCCAACCCAGUCUGGAAGCAACUCUUGUUACUGUUAUAAGGAAACCGCUACCUCAGCAAACAAAAGGAAAGGAAGACUUGUAAUAACGAAUGCCAUUUUUAAAGAAAACUUGUUUUCAGAAAACAGUACAGGAAAUUUGGAAAUUUUUAGUCUUGAGGAGAAGCUUUACAGGCAAAUGAUUUGACAGGCAGGCUCUGUCAAAAUAAUGCAGAGAUUUGAUCUCCCUUCUUAAGGACUUUGUGCGGAAUAACCCUGUAUUGCUUUUUAAGUUGCUGUUGAUCAGCUUGUGGGUUUUUGAGUUCUAACUUUUUUGAUGUAUUAAAGAUACAUCCUAUUACCUUUUUAAAAGUUAUUUUUCUGCCAUUGUAAAUACAAGUAUCAAAAUAUUCUUGCAGAGCAAUUAUAAGUAAACAUUUUUGUCAACAAGCAUAUCUUUUUAUUAAGAGAGUGGAAUGCUAAAUAAUUAUACAGCAUUUUGGACACACUUUCAUUUUUUGUGAGA